GUAAAAUAUAUUUUUGUGAAUUCUGGUCCAAAAAAGAACUGAGAAAAAUGUAGUCUACAAUAGCUAGUAAAAAUCUCUGAUACAAACACUAACAUUACAUAGGCAUAACACAAUGUAUUUAUUAAAUUCUUCAGUAUGUAGGAUAAAAAUUUCCAUAUUUAUUAGCCCAUAUACAUGCAAGAAAUUGUAUCUAAAGAUAUGUGUUACAUGAAAUACCUAUAAAAUAAGUUUCUGAAGUUAAAAAUAUUCAUUUGAUUAUUACUUUCCUACUAACUUUCCUAUUCUUGUAGUUAAAUAUUUAUGUAGGAAACAAAACAACCCAUUUCUAUGCUUUGGUUUUUAUCAUCGUCAAAGAACAAAAUUUUGCUUUAUAACUGGAAGAAAUACUAAUCUCUAUUGUGACUUCUUGGGAGAGUUUAAUAACUCCAACUUGUUAUAUUCAUUUAUUAAAUAUUUACUGUAUCUCAAAUCUGAAGAUAUUUCUGUAGGUUGUUCUACUUCAGCGUAUAGGAAAUAAAUGAUUUGGUGAUUUACAAAAGAAUUGGUAAUGUAUGUGAUUCUCCAACAGGGGUCUUCUUCUAGUGGAUAUUAGGUAUUCAAUAUUCAAGAAAGUGUUUCCCAAGUGUUCAUAAAUAACAUAUUCAUGUCAAAUAAAAGAUAAUUUACAAACUAUAAAUAGACAAAUAAAAGGCUGAAUGUAACUAGCCAGAUGAACAUAAACUGCAACCUGUGUGAUUGCAUUUACAUAAAAUUAUAGGAAAUUAAAAUAAUUUAAAAAUAAUUAAAAUAACCUAUUGACAGAAGAUCAGGCUCUUAAAAAAAUUUCAUUAUAGUGUGGAUAAAACCAAAGUCACCAGGAAAGAAUCAAUGUUGUGAUCUCAAAUUGGGAGGAAGACCUUGUAAUAACUGCCUAUGUUCACAUCCAUUUGAGAGAAACAUAGAAAUCAUUAAUUAUUAUUCAUAGUCAGAAAAUAUACAUCUAUAUUUAUUGCAAAUGCAGGUGAAAGAUCAUGUUUCUUUCUCAAGCCAGACAAUUCACUGCUUUCAGACAAAAGAGAGCAUCUCUAGGAUGGCUCUCAGGGCUGCUACAGAGCAUGCAGGUGCUGAAGGAAUGGAGUCCACCUGCUAAACCUCUUCUCCCAUGAUGAGAUCAAAGUAGCUUCUCUCCUUUGAGGCUCCUUUGUGAACCUCACAGGACGGAUUCCACAACAUGCUUUUGUUCAGAUGUAUGCACUCACUCGGGCCGGGCCUCAUAUCCCAGCAGGGAUGUGAAGUGUUGGGGUCUCCUGAGGACGGCUGCCCUGGAAUCUGGAGCAGAUGGUUCAGCAGCCAGCAGGACACAGAUCCUCAGAAGCUGUCUCCUUCAGACGCCUGGUAUGGGCUCAGCCAACGGCACGAGGAGCUGCACAGGGAGAGACAGAUCCAGAAAUCACUCUGCUUUCCUGGAGUAAGUGUGCCCUGCACCAUGCUAGGCACUGGGUUAGUGACAAUGACACUGAUACAAGUGGGUAGUGAUCAUAACAACCGGAACACACAAAGGGCUUCUCACCAGGGUCUUUUUUCUCUUUUCCUCCUCUAUCCCCUAACAACAACGUUGAAAAGGAGUAACAAGUGGUCGGAACUCAUGCAGACAUUCACGGUCCCGCAAUAACCACAGGGCCAUGGGCUUGCUCAUGUGUUGUCACUGAACGCUCACAGCGAGCUUGGGGGUUGAGCAUUCUCAUCCCAUUUGACAGAAGGGGGAGCUGGGGCUCAGAGAGAGCCGUUCCCUGUGUCACCUCCCGCGCCCUUGCCUUUAGAAGGAAAGUAUCUCCAGGACACCCCUGGGGCAGGAAGCCACACGCACUAGGACCGGUGGGACCCCGGUGUCUUUACCCACGAGCCCGCCUGGGAACCAAGUCCCAAAGCGGGAGAGAGGCAACUUGGAUGUGGGCCCCUUUGUCUCCCCCACACCCCGGGGGAGCUCAGCCCCCACCGCAGAAACCCACACCCUCAGCUGACAACCAAAUACCUGAAGGUGAAACCCGCACUUCCCAUCAAGCACCACUUUCUCUAUAGAAAAGUCGUGACGGGCGCCACGAUGACGUCAGGUUUCUACAGCAACCGCGAAGCACAGGCAGUUCCUCCGCGCCGGAAAUGCUUCCCUUCUUGCAGCCAUCCUUUGCCGAGUCCCGAAAAGGUGCAUCCUCUCAGCCAAUCAAUACCAUGGGGUCAGUCAUCUGCAUGAAGAGCUCUGCCCUGGGAGAUAAAAAUCCAUAAAUUCCCAGCAC
ensembl:lncRNA